rnacentral:rRNA from 1 species
CACGUAGGGGGCAAGCGUUGUCCGGAAUCAUUGGGCGUAAAGCGCGUGUAGGCGGCUAGGUAAGUCUGCUCUGAAAGCCCGGGGCUCAACCCCGGGAGGCGGGUGGAUACUGUCUAGCUCGAGUCCGGAAGAGGAGUGUGGAAUUCCUGGUGUAGCGGUGAAAUGCGCAGAUAUCAGGAGGAACACCAAUGGCGAAGGCAGCACUCUGGGACGUGACUGACGCUGAGACGCGAAAGCGUGGGGAGCAAACAGG